CCUACGGGAAGCAGCAGUGGGGAAUCUUGCGCAAUGGGCGAAAGCCUGACGCAGCCAUGCCGCGUGAAUGAUGAAGGUCUUAGGAUUGUAAAAUUCUUUCACCGGGGACGAUAAUGACGGUACCCGGAGAAGAAGCCCCGGCUAACUUCGUGCCAGCAGCCGCGGUAAUACGAAGGGGGCUAGCGUUGCUCGGAAUUACUGGGCGUAAAGGGAGCGUAGGCGGAUAGUUUAGUCAGAGGUGAAAGCCCAGGGCUCAACCUUGGAAUUGCCUUUGAUACUGGCUAUCUUGAGUGUGGGAGAGGUAUGUGGAACUCCGAGUGUAGAGGUGAAAUUCGUAGAUAUUCGGAAGAACACCAGUGGCGAAGGCGACAUACUGGCCCAUUACUGACGCUGAGGCUCGAAAGCGUGGGGAGCAAACAGGAUUAGAUACCCUGGUAGUCCACGCUGUAAACGAUGAGUGNUAGUGUCGCGAGCGAUGCUCGUCGGUGCGCG
rnacentral:rRNA from 1 species